UGAGAGGUUUAAAUGAGGUCGUGUGUAGAA
rnacentral:piRNA from 1 species